rnacentral:rRNA from 1 species
AGCGAACGCUGGCGGCAGGCCUAACACAUGCAAGUCGAACGGAUCCUUCGGGAUUAGUGGCGGACGGGUGAGUAACACGUGGGAACGUGCCCUUUGGUUCGGAACAACUCAGGGAAACUUGAGCUAAUACCGGAUGUGCCCUUCGGGGGAAAGAUUUAUCGCCAUUGGAGCGGCCCGCGUCUGAUUAGCUAGUUGGUGAGGUAACGGCCCACCAAGGCGACGAUCAGUAGCUGGUCUGAGAGGAUGAUCAGCCACACUGGGACUGAGACACGGCCCAGACUCCUACGGGAGACAGCAGUGGGGAAUCUUGCGCAAUGGGCGAAAGCCUGACGCAGCCAUGCCGCGUGAAUGAUGAAGGUCUUAGGAUUGUAAAAUUCUUUCAGCGGGGACGAUAAUGACGGUACCCGCAGAAGAAGCUCCGGCUAACUUCGUG